UGGGGAAUCUUGCACAAUGGGGGAAACCCUGAUGCAGCGACGCCGCGUGAACGAUGAAGCCCUUCGGGGUGUAAAGUUCUUUCGGCAGGAACGAUAAUGACGGUACCUGAAGAAGAAGCUGCGGCUAACUGCGUGCCAGCAGCCGCGGUAAUACGUAGGCAGCAAACGUUGUUCGGAGUUACUGGGCGUAAAGAGUACGUAGGCGGUUUGCCAAGUUUGGUGUGAAAUCUCCUGGCUUAACUGGGAGGGUGCGCCGAAUACUGGCAGACUUGAGUAUUGGAGAGGAAAGCGGAAUUCCUGGUGUAGCGGUGAAAUGCGUAGAUAUCAGGAGGAACACCGGUGGUGUAGACGGCUUUCUGGACAAUCACUGACGCUGAGGUACGAAAGCGUGGGUAGCAAACAGGAUUAGAUACCCGAGUAGUCCCUGAGCGGGCUGGCAAGGCGCAU
rnacentral:rRNA from 1 species